CCUACGGGAGGCUGCAGUGAGGAAUAUUGGUCAAUGGACGAGAGUCUGAACCAGCCAAGUAGCGUGAAGGAUGACUGCCCUAUGGGUUGUAAACUUCUUUUAUAUGGGAAUAAAAUGUUCCACGUGUGGGAUUUUGUAUGUACCAUAUGAAUAAGGAUCGGCUAACUCCGUGCCAUCAGCCGCGGUAAUACGGAGGAUCCGAGCGUUAUCCGGAUUUAUUGGGUGUAAAGUGAGCGUAGGUGGAUGGUUAAGUCAGUUGUGAAAGUUUGGGGCUCAACCGUAAAAUUGCAGUUGAAACUGGCAGUCUUGAGUACGGUAGAGGUGGGCGGAAUUCGUGGUGUAGCGGUGAAAUGCUUAGAUAUCACGAAGAACUCCGAUUGCGAAGGCAGCUCACUGGACUGCAACUGACGCUGAGGCUCGAAAGUGUGGGUAUCAAACAGGAUUAGAUACCCUAGUAGUC
rnacentral:rRNA from 1 species